AUUGAACGCUGGCGGCAGGCCUAACACAUGCAAGUCGAGCGGAGCGGCCGACGGGUGAGUAAUGCCUACGAAUCUGCCUGGCCGUGGGGGCUAACGUCCGUUAACGGGCGCUAAUCCCGCAUACUAUCAGAUGAGCCUAGGUCGGAUUAGCUCGUUGGUAGGGUAAAGGCCUACCAAGGCAACGAUCCGUAACUGGUCUGAGAGGAUGAUCAGUCACACUGGAACUGAGACACGGUCCAGACUCCUACGGGAGGCAGCAGUGGGGAAUAUUGGACAAUGGGCGAAAGCCUGAUCCAGCCAUGCCGCGUGUGUGAAGAAGGUCUUCGGAUUGUAAAGCACUUUAAGUUGGGAGGCGUUACCAACAGAGUAAGCACCGGCUAACUACGUGCCAGCAGCCGCGGUAAUUC
rnacentral:rRNA from 1 species